AUGAUUCUUUCUUUGUUCACUCUAUUUUAUUAUAUACGCUUAGCAAAAAGAAUGUUUUUUGAUAGACCUAGGACAUGGAUUCUAUAUGAACCAAUGGAUCAUGACAAGUCGUUACUACUAGCAAUGACUUCCUCUUUCAUUACUUCAGCCUUUCCAUAUCCCUCUCCCUUGUUCGAUCUUACUCAUCAAAUGGCACUCAGUUCAUAUAUGUAA
rnacentral:rRNA from 1 species